CACUUUGUCACGCAAAACUCUAAAAAUUUGAGCGGGCACCAAAAAUGGGCCGUGGGAAUUAAAAAAAAUUUUAGUCGUCGCGCCAAAUUUUAGGGGUUGCGUGACCAAUUUUUCGUCACGCAAAACUUUGCGCGACCAACACUUCGUCGCACCAAACUCUAAAAAUUUGAGUGGGCAAAAAAAUGGGACACGGGAAUUUUUUUUAAGACUUUGCACGACCAAUAUUUCGUCGAGCAAACUCGUAUACUUCGUCGCGCAAAGUGAUACCGUUUUUAAAACCAAAAUAACUCCUCCACAAUUUUCUCAAUGUUUUUCUCUACUCUUACCUCUCCUCUCUCUUUCCCUCUCCCCAAAUUUGACCCUCUCUCUCAAACUCACUCCUCUCACUUAAUCUCUCUUCUCUCUCUUCACUAUCUCUCAUUCUCACUCACUCUCUCAUCUCUCUCUCAUUAUCUCCUUUAAUUCUCUCACACUUACUCCUCCCUCUCAUUCUCACUCACUCUCAAUCUUGCCAAAAGGUAUAUUCUCCCCAAAUUUUAAUUUUUUUCAUUAGUAUGUGUUUUUGGAGUUAGUUUUGAGUUUGGUGCGGGGUUUGGGGUCGAGUAUAGGAUGAGGAGUGGAGUUUGGGGUCGGAUUUAGGGUAUACCAAUUUUAGGGGAGAUUAUGCCAAUUUUUUGUUAUUUUUUU
rnacentral:lncRNA from 1 species